rnacentral:lncRNA from 1 species
CAUACAUAUUGCACGAGAUAAGGAAAACGAGAUCAUCCUCUUUCCCAGGCCGAACAGCAAAAUAAAAAAGAAUUCAGCUAAAAAGGCUGGGGCAAUUUCUUCCUUUCCUGUUGGGAUUUCAUGCCAUAAGACGAAUAAGUUGAUUUGAGAUCUUGCUAUCAACUUCUUGGCCAAAAAGUAAUCUUUCUCGAUAGACCGG